GCCUAAUUAGAAACAAGGAAAGAAAGCCCUAUCUUUUCAAAGAUAGUUGUGGUUGAUACGAGACACGUAGAUCUUACCGGAACCUUUUUUUUUUUUGGUCAUAAGACUUUCAGGUUAGUGAAUUGUACCCAAUACCGAAAGGAUCCAGAUUCUAUUUUAACUUUUCUAGUUUGAUAUGAUUCUUCUACAUUCUUUAAAUGUUUUUUAAUGAUAGACUUAAUAGUAUACUAAUACCACAUACUAUAAAUUAUUAAGUUCAUAUAAUGUAUUGAACAGAACCAAGAGUCCAAGACAGUAGUACAGAACUGACAAUGGUUUAAUUUCCCUGGAAUAAGUCUUCAUUCACUUCAAGUAUAUUUACAUAUGCGUCGAAAUUGAAAAAUCAUCCAUUGACAGACUGGGUUAGCAGUUGAAUCUGUGUCUUUUAAUAACCAAAUUCUUUAAUUGCAUAAAGCUGGCAGGGGUCAUCCUCUAGCUAAAAGUCAGCAGAUAAUUGUUAUAGCUAAUUACAUAUGACAAGCAACCUGAUCAAAAGUCUCCUAAUUAAUCUAUUUAAUUUCAAGACAAUUAUGAGUUUGGUGGACGUCUAGUUACAUACUUGCAUGAAGUACUAUCUUAAACUCCUACACGAUUUCUUUUCAUCAACAGUGUAUGCUAAUUAUUUGGCUCAGCAUGAAAUAAGUUGUGUUAUGCUCACUCCAUAUGAUAAAUUAAAAAUUGCAAGUCUAAUUAGCUGAGUAUGGCCUUAAACAGAUAUGUUUUAAUGUGUCAGCACGAGUGACAGGCAUGUCCUAUAUUAAUAAAUAAAGCCAUCUAACCUGUAGGUAGUAGCGCUUGUUUGAUGAAGAAACCACAUAGAAGUAAAGCUGAUGGCUAAUCCCAGUAAUCCACUCAAAGUCAUCACCAGCCAGAAGGUGGGUUGCCUCAGAAGUGGCCUGACAGUCAUCACAAAUAAAUGUAAGUACUUCUUUUCGAGAUAGAAUAAGCAUAAGAUAACCAAAUGACUGCAAAUGACAGUCACAGACUCACAUAUAUUAGAACAAAAACGAAGGAAAAGAAUAAUAGAUGUCAAUGUAAACCUUAUUCAAUCUUAUAAAUACAAUCAAUUAUUCCCAAAUAUACGAAGCCACUAGUAAGGAUGUACAAAUCAUCGCCUAGGUAGAGAAUGGAACAUUUAAUUCAAGAGCUUGCUCACUGAAAGCAAAUUUAAAGGUUUGGGUAAAGGUGCAACCAUGCAAGGGCAUGGGACUCUUAAGUAUGCUGUACUAAUUUUAUAGUUAUAUAUUAGAGAUUUCACAGUCCAAUUAUUCUGUUAGACCAUAGAAUACAUACUAAAAUGUUAAAUACAAGCAAAUUCUGUUAAAGGUAUGCAACUACAAUUUUAGCUAUGUUGGCAAGUGCUUCCUCAUAUGGAGGUACACCAUACAUGCAACUCGGAGAGUAAGAAAUGAUGCAUUAAUGUUUGAAAAAUAGAUGGUGCUAUGUCAUAUACUGAGAACUUUUGUAAUAGUGAGUCAGUGACAUAGGUUGCCAAAACUUACGUCGUAGUGAGGUAGUCCACCUCAUUGAACACAUAUAUAAGCAGCAAACCUAAGGGUAAAGAGAGAGUGUUAUUUAGCAAAACCAUUGAAAACUCAUUCAGGUUUCCCGAUUUUGUGACUAGCUUUGCGGUAUCCAUGACUCUCCGCAAGGUUAACUGCACCACAACCAUAUAAAAAGACACACAAAAAUAUUCAUAAGCUAUUAACUGAAGAAAAAAGAUUGACAUGAAAAAAAACAAAGAACACCUAAGAUAGUUUAUAGUCUAAUAAUGAUCAAUAUUUCUCAAAAGGAAUGACCAGAAAUAGGACAGGGUAUUUCAAGGGCCGUUCCAUACCAUAUGAGGGACCAGGGUUAAAACAAAAUUUUGGGCCCUCGCGUAAAAAAUUCUUAUGAAAUAUUUAUGAUACUGCGAAUUCAGAUUGAACUGAAUAGGUUAAUACAUAAAUUAUACUAAUGAAAUCAAGGUAAGAAACCUACAUAAUAGCCUUUCAUUUUUUGAAUCUUGAGAAGUGGAUUAGCCGAAGAUGUCAUGGGCCUAAUUUUGUGAAAUUCGAAAAGCAAUAUAGUACAUAAUAACACACAGGCUCGUGAGUAGUUGGACAAAACCUAUAUUAAAGCUUAAUGUUACUAUAAAUGGUUAAAUUUUGGGCCCUCUAAAAAGCAUGCCCCUGGGCGGUCGCCCUGCUCGCCCUCCCUCUGGACCGGGCCUGUAAUAAAUUGCUUAGCUUUAAAAUGGUUCUGAGCAAAGGCUCCAUUGCUGUCUAUCUAUACUUUCUGAGUCUUUCACAGACAUAUGUUGAAACACAUUAGGGAGUGUUUUCAUAAUAAAAAACAUUGGAUACAUAAAUAAAUAAGUUGGAUAUGUCUGCAUAGUAUCAAAACUAUAGAUUAGAUAUACUCCCUCUGUCCCAUUUAAUUGUAUACGUUUCUUUUUAACUGCUCGACACGCAUUUCAAUGCUCUUAUAAAAUAUAGUUCCGUAACUUAUUUUUGCGAUUUUCUUUUUCUGUAUAAAAAUAUAACAUCCAAACUUUAAUUCAAAAAAGAAAAAUUUUAAAAAUAGAUUGCACAACUACAUUUUGCAGGAGCAUUAAAGUCCGUGCCGCGUCCCCGUCCCCCAAUAUAUACUACUCAGGGGGGCGGAGGGAGUAACUGUUUAAUAAAGCAUAUUGUCCUAUGUUAACCUCCAUUUUCAUUGCCAAAGACAUGUUCUUCAUAUAUCUAUCAUUUCAUACAACAAAAAACACAAAAUUUCUUAUAUGUCAAUUUCAGAGUAGGGCUAAGUUUAUGAGACCAUAAUUAUGUUAUACCACGUGAGGUUUAACUGGAAACUGAAGAUAUCGUAUGACAUCCUGCAUUUUGACAAUUCAUAUGCUUUUGAAAACAAGUUAAAAGAGCAUAAUCUUCCGACUCAUGAUUUAAUAUAUAAGUUAAUAAAUUUAAAUUUAAGAUAAUUAAUCUGGACAGGUAAUUAUCUAAUGUAGAGGAUCAUGCGUUAAGUUGCCACAUCCAAUCUACGAGCAUUACUAUCUAUACUAAUUAUCUGUUACUAAGUGCCUACUGGAGUCCAAUAUUUUCGUGUAUGAGAUAACAUUAGGUUGCAUAAUAGGAUGCUUGCUUAUUAAUUAAUUAGUAUAGGACUGUAGGUAAUCACAAGUUCAACCCCUAGACAUAGCCUUUGUUAAAAAUAUGGGUAAGGCAGGGUACACAUGACCUUCCUCAAAUAGUGCUGAUACGGGAGUCGUGUUGGUGUGCCCUGGGUACGACAUUUGGAAAAAGGCUGAAUUACUUUUCGUGAAGUUAAGAUCUCGGAAACAAUUUCCACAAUAUCUUUCUAAUAAGCAUGAGGGAAAGACUGCAAGUAGACCUGAUACACUACUAGGAAAGAGAUUAUCAGGUACUUUGUCAAACGGUCCUUUCAAGCAUGAUUAGCAGUGAUGACAACCAAGCCAAAGGCCUAAUUUAAACAUUGCUAGGAUGAAAGAGAAAAAAUAAAACCAAACACUAUGGUAAGACAUCAAAGAAACACCUACAGAAUAAGAUGCUGUCAGGAAACAGUUAAUAAUCUGCCAUGUAUAGCCAACAGCAUGAAAAGAUAGAUCAGUAAAACCGCCAGAGAUUGCUGAAAUGAUCUGCAAAAUACAAAGAACAAGUUUAAGCUUAACCUGCCCUGUGAAACAAGACACAUAUAACUGUUAAUUAACAAGGCCAUCCUAUAUUUUGAUCUGAAAUACCUAUUGCUAUAAAGUAAAAUGAAUUUGGCUGGACAAUUAUUAACGCAUCAGAAAUUUUUAUUAAAAAUAACUUGCAACCAAUCCAUAUUUCUAGACCUAUAAGUGUCAUCAACACUUCUACUUAAUGAAUAGAUGUUCACCGAGUAAUUGCUUGUAAAGCUCCAAGCUUAACAUUUAACAGCCUGAUGCCCAUCAGCAUAAUCCAAAAUUUUCACCAAAGAAACAAAAAUAGAGUGCAUAAACACCCCCCCACAAUACAACAAACACUCUAAAAAAAAUUUAUAACUCCUUUAGAAAGAACUCGGUUCAUAGGAAACAGUAGAAUAACAGUGGCAAGCCCAAUUUUAUAGAAGUACAUUUAAAAAUUGGCAAAAAAUAAACAUCUCCUUUCAUCACACAUUAAUCAUUUUUAGAUAAAGAAAGUUUGUACUCAGUAGUCCAUACACAAGGCUCCUUAUAGCAGCAUAUCAGAAAAUCAGAUAAAUACAGUCUUAGCUCUAUUUUUAGAUGUGGCUUUUUCAAUGACUUGAGAAUGUGACUGAUCAUCCACAAGAUAAGUUGACCUAUUUACGAAGCACGGCCUUCUUCAAAAGGAAAUGGCAUGAAAUUAAAAUAAUGUUGACUCUGAGUAGUAAGUCUGGAGAGAGCUAUGUAUAAUUGUACCUUAUCAUCAGAGCAAUCUUAACAUAAGCAGCUUAAAUGUUAAUUCAUGAGAUGAUAAAUGGCUAGUUAACGUACCAUUAAAAAUAGUGCAAUCCAAACUCUGUUGUCGUGGUGCUUACUGAAAAGAUACAUCUCACCAACUGCUGUUAUAACAUUGGUAACAUUCUUCAGAACUGUGACCAUGGCGACGUUAAUGUACCUUAGACUGCACAUAAUAUGUAGAUCCAACUUCAAAGACAAUCCUAAGAGACUAAAAUAGUAAGACCGAAAAAUAAGUUCAUAAGCAUACUAGUAGAUUACUAGUUAAACACAAGUCUCCAUGAAAUCUUUAAGUGUCAAACGCUUCUUGAAGAUAAUUAACAGAGCAUAUGGUUCCAUAAAAAUCAUCUGCUAAAGGACAUCACAAUUCUUUAAGUGUCAAACGCUUCUUGAAGAUAAUUAACAGAGCAUAUGGUUCCAUUAAAAUCAUCUGUUAAAGUAAAUCACAAAUUUUAUAUUGAAGUGCUGUUCAAACUAUAUUACCUACAAAAUUAGGGGAAACCAUGAAGUGAAGCUCUUAGCUUGUUUUAAAUAAAAAACUAUAUUUUCAGAACACAUUACAUGUUUUAAUGCUGUCAAAUAUGAUAAAUAACAACCUUCAGCAUAAGAAGUUGACCAGGCUUUCCAUGAAGACGCAUCUACAGACCUUGCACUUUUGCAGUUUUAAUUUCUUGUCAAAAACUCUUAAUAUAGUAGUCAGGAAGGGGCCAGUGAUUUGUAGGGUUUCAGCAACAACAUUUAAGAAUACCUCAAAUGUGGUACAACAAAAUUCAGGUCUUAAGACUUGGAUGUAAGACAACAGAAGGAAUAGAAUAAUAUUAGGCAGGGUAAAUGUCAAUUGAUAUGAUGGGUAGAUAGGCAUUGUAGCAACCAACUCCACAGAUGUUAAUGACUGGAGUAUUACAUAGGAUUUAUAUUGUGUAUAAACAUCUUUCAUAUAUUUUUACAAACACUUCCCCUCAUACAUGGCGCGUUUAACCACAGUUUGAAGGUUUUGUAUGUGUGAAUAAUUAUAGUCCAUAAACCUGAACCCUCAAUCCACUCUACAAUUUAGUAUGUGUGAUGCGCAAGACUAAUCUAAACAAGUGCUGCAACCAUUAAAAUUUUACAAAGGAAAAACUGAGAUAAUAAGACAACCAUUGGUGAGUGGGAGUAUAGAAAGAAAUUCAUACCUAAACAUGCUUGUGAUCAGCAUUCCAACAAAAAUUACAUUUACAGGCAACCACGCCUUGAUUAAUUUCCAUGUCAAUGCUUCUGUUGAUAUCACACCAAGAGUACUCAGCAUAGAAACAAUAAAUACCGAAAUAAAGUUCUGCAGACAAGUAAGACAUUCUUUUAAGCAGACGAAGCACUAAGACAUAGAGAUUUCUAAAAUUGAUAUGAGCACGUCAGAAACAUAGAAGUCACCUGGUAGAUCAUCAAAGAUAUCCCGGCAUUGAAAUCAUAGCUGGAGAGGACAUAUUUGUUAACCAGUAUCAUACUACAUGAUGAAAGGCAAUACGAUAGACCAGACAGUAGUGCCUGAUUGUUUAUUUGAACUGGUCUAUUACUUGAUAUUAAUCUUUCUCUUUCGAUAUCAAACUUUCCUCUUUCCACAUCCAAAUGUUUAUUACCAUUCGUCUUCAUUGCAAAAUGCGGGCCUAACAAGUUAAAUAACAGCAUCCAACCUUAAACGCAGAAGAGCAAUUUGCAAUUAUAACAGCUCAUAGUGUACUGUGUAACCAGUGUUGUUGAUAGCACGCAUAAUCAAAAGUAGCAUAGAGUAGUUUGUGUCCUAAGAACGUACUCGUAAAGCAUAGUUUCAUAAUAUUUUUCUGAAUUUUUUUUUCCUGUUUACACUUUUAUUCAAAAAAAUAAUUUAAAAAAACGUUAUGAAACUGUAUUUAAAUCUGGAAGGUAAAUCUGUUGGGACGGAGGAAGUAAUACAAAUAUGCAAGUUUAGCUAAGACACUCACUAAAGUACAUACAACAAUUUUUAAACUCUGCAUGCUACAUAUUAAUCCAACAUAUCGACAAGUCGAGAGUUCAAAUCUUGUCAGAAUAAUUUGUAUUUGGACAUAAACGAAAAUAUGAUCAUGUUGUGAUCGAGUGGGAGAAGAGGAGGUACCUGAAGUGGAAGCAGUGAGGUGUUGAGAGUGUGAGAUCAACAGAAAUGUAGGUGGCCGGAAAGUGAAUAAGUACGGUGGUCCAGCGGUGGAUUGAAAUGAAAUAUAAUAAUAAUAAAUAAUAAAUAAAUAAAUGGUUAGACAAGUUGAAUCGCACUGUUUACGUAACUGUCAUUGCCUAUUAUUUUAUUCUUGUUCCACCCAAUCUUAGACGUAUUAUUGAUUACUAGGUUAUUACUUAAAUUUUAAUAUACGUAGGAGGAGGCCUUAGUUUGUUUGUUUGUUUGUUUAUUUGCAUCGCAAAAAGUAAACAGUAAAGUAAAGGUAAUUUAAAAAGUGAAGAAAAAUGGUGAAAUAGUGAUACACCUUAACUAUUUUUGAUAAGGUUUGAAAUAUAAAAAAUUGAAUCGUACACCAAAACGAAAGUUAUAUAUCAAAUUAGCCACUUAUUCCGUCAAAAUAUCUCAUUUUACCCACUCAUCUCAUCGCGGACUCGUUUAAGCCACUGUAAAUCAAAUAUAUAUCAUUUUACCCACUCAUCUAAUCGCGGACUCGUUUAAGCCACUAUAAAUCAAAUAUAUAUCAUUUUACCCACAUCACUAUUCAUAUCUUUUUACUUCAUCAUUUAUCAAAAAUCAACCAUUUAUUUUUUUUAUUACAAAACCACUUCCAGUACCUUCAUAAUUGUCUCUAGUAUUUAUCAAAAUAAUUUGGAAAUUAAUAAAGCAACAUAGUUAGGGUGAUCACAUAAAUAUCUAUGUAUAACUUAUUUUUUUAAAAAAAUAAUAGUUAUAUUGCUUUAUUAAUUUCCAAAUUAUUUUGAUAAAUACUAGAGAUAAUCAUGAAGGCACUCGAAGUGGUUUUGUAGUAAAAAGAUAAACGGAUAAUUUUUUAUAAAUGAUUAAGUAAAAAUGUAUGAAUAGUGAUGUGGAUAAAAUAAUAUAUAUAUUUUGUUUAUAGUGACUUAAACGAGUCCUCAAUGAGAUGGGUGGGUAAAAUGAGAUAUUUUGACCUAAUGGGUGGCUGGUUUGAUAUAAAACCAAAAGAAAAGUGUAAAGAGAUAAUUGGUACAGAUACUAUAUACUAUAAUUUUCAAGAUAUUUAUGUUGUCAUGUCUGAGGCAAAUCAAGCGUCUGCUGUAACGCAUAUUUUUGUCGAUUAUUUCACCCAACCGAUUUAUAGUAUUGGCCCUUGUUGAUUCUUGAGCUACGAAUAGACAGUUAGAGAAAAAUAAUUCAUAUUAGCAAGAUUUGUAAACAGCAAACUCUUUUCCCUAUCUAGCUUCCUCUUGGAUGUCCAUGUCUUUCCAGAGACAAAUUUCUGUAUUUUCGAAUACAAAUGUAAAGAUCAUCGUAGCCACCUUGCAUUUACAUUCCCUCGCGUAAAGGGAGAGACUACAUUCACAAUAGAUACCAGUCGUGUCACAAGCAAAACCUCUACUUCACAUCCAGACUCCGAUUAGGCAUUAGAAUCAACGAUGGGGAGCAAAUGGAAUAGCAGAUACUUACAUAUACCGUGUAUGGUGCGCUACCACUUAACUGGUCAGCAACCUAGAUUGGAGUGUGUCAGUUUCACAUCUUGGUACUCAAAUAGGUCCUCUCCUCGGAGAUCUGUUGGGUGGUGUUUGGGACUUGUAUUGGGGAAUUUCAAACCAUGGAUCCGGAAAGUUUUUUGUGUUGGAUCUCACAGGAAAUUCGUUAGAAUUAUUGUAACUGCUCUGCCCUGGCAUGGCAAACGAUGGGUGUGGAGGAGAUAAAUAGCAACUCUGAUAUGCAGGUCCAUACUGUCGCAAGGGACUUGAAGUAGGAGAUACUGGCAAAGAAAUAAUGUUUCUUGCGUUGUUUCUGUGCAGAAGAAAAGAGAGAACCUGUUACUUGAUGUGAUAAACUAGAUUUCUAGCAUGAGAAUAUAAAGGGGUGGAAUAUAAUUAAUACGAUAUCUUGUUAGGCUAACCUUGGGAUGAUCAAAUCUCUUGAUGCUGUGAAUCCUGAUUUUGUUGCACGAAAAUUAUCCACAUCGAAAGAGGAUUUUGUUGCACGAAGAUGAUCUCCAUCAAAAGAACUGAUAUUUGUUCUGUUAGAUCGCAUCUCUUGUGCAGUCUGGUACAAAGUGAAACAGAACACGGAGUUAGCAGAGCAUAUUGACCACAAGAGAAAAAUUAUGUAAGGUGUCAACUAUCGACAUCUCUAAACAACCAAAAGGAGGAUCAGCUCAUUUAACACCAUCAUCUAGCUUUUGUAAUUAGAACAAUUAAGCUAGGCGGCAACCCAUAGAAGGCUUCUACAAAUUGCAAACUUUUGGAAAAUAAAUAGUGGAGUACAUGUCUAACACAACUUAUCAUGGAGAUAGCGAAGCAAAAAAUCAAUCAGUUCAUGAAAUAAAAUCACAAAUUUUGUGAGUAUGUACAAAACGGGCACAAAAGAAUACCAUUGUAAGCCAGACAUUUGGUAUGAUGUACUGUUAUUCUAGAUGCGUUUUGCUCUCUUAUCUGAUAGGCUUUAAUAAACAUACUUAUAGCAGCAGAUGCUCCUAAAGCUACGUAUUAUAAGGACUUGCCCACAACAGCUUUGUGAUUUUAUUAAAUCUUCUACUUCAUAUUAUGCUCGCACAUGUGCAAACAAGAUUUAAAUACUAUUACAUGAUCACUAUUGACAUGCCAAAAUUAAUGACAUUUUCUCUCUAUCACAAGCUGCUUUAAAUAUCAAAACUAUAAGUUGAGGCCUAAUAGUAGUAACAAGGUAGAAUGUCAUUAUACAAGGCUUGGAGUAAUUUACCGGUGUGCGGCUCCCGUCAAAAGUGUGGGGGAACGCUUCCUUUGUUAUGUUUACAUUGGCAACUCUUGUGGUAGCUUGGUCUCUGACGAAAGCGUGUUCUAAUAGUUGGGCGGCAGUAGGUCGUGCAACUGGGUCGCGUUGNGGGUGAUCACAUAAAUAUCUAUGUAUAACUUAUUUUUUUAAAAAAAUAAUAGUUAUAUUGCUUUAUUAAUUUCCAAAUUAUUUUGAUAAAUACUAGAGAUAAUCAUGAAGGCACUCGAAGUGGUUUUGUAGUAAAAAGAUAAACGGAUAAUUUUUUAUAAAUGAUUAAGUAAAAAUGUAUGAAUAGUGAUGUGGAUAAAAUAAUAUAUAUAUUUUGUUUAUAGUGACUUAAACGAGUCCUCAAUGAGAUGGGUGGGUAAAAUGAGAUAUUUUGACCUAAUGGGUGGCUGGUUUGAUAUAAAACCAAAAGAAAAGUGUAAAGAGAUAAUUGGUACAGAUACUAUAUACUAUAAUUUUCAAGAUAUUUAUGUUGUCAUGUCUGAGGCAAAUCAAGCGUCUGCUGUAACGCAUAUUUUUGUCGAUUAUUUCACCCAACCGAUUUAUAGUAUUGGCCCUUGUUGAUUCUUGAGCUACGAAUAGACAGUUAGAGAAAAAUAAUUCAUAUUAGCAAGAUUUGUAAACAGCAAACUCUUUUCCCUAUCUAGCUUCCUCUUGGAUGUCCAUGUCUUUCCAGAGACAAAUUUCUGUAUUUUCGAAUACAAAUGUAAAGAUCAUCGUAGCCACCUUGCAUUUACAUUCCCUCGCGUAAAGGGAGAGACUACAUUCACAAUAGAUACCAGUCGUGUCACAAGCAAAACCUCUACUUCACAUCCAGACUCCGAUUAGGCAUUAGAAUCAACGAUGGGGAGCAAAUGGAAUAGCAGAUACUUACAUAUACCGUGUAUGGUGCGCUACCACUUAACUGGUCAGCAACCUAGAUUGGAGUGUGUCAGUUUCACAUCUUGGUACUCAAAUAGGUCCUCUCCUCGGAGAUCUGUUGGGUGGUGUUUGGGACUUGUAUUGGGGAAUUUCAAACCAUGGAUCCGGAAAGUUUUUUGUGUUGGAUCUCACAGGAAAUUCGUUAGAAUUAUUGUAACUGCUCUGCCCUGGCAUGGCAAACGAUGGGUGUGGAGGAGAUAAAUAGCAACUCUGAUAUGCAGGUCCAUACUGUCGCAAGGGACUUGAAGUAGGAGAUACUGGCAAAGAAAUAAUGUUUCUUGCGUUGUUUCUGUGCAGAAGAAAAGAGAGAACCUGUUACUUGAUGUGAUAAACUAGAUUUCUAGCAUGAGAAUAUAAAGGGGUGGAAUAUAAUUAAUACGAUAUCUUGUU
rnacentral:lncRNA from 1 species